rnacentral:rRNA from 1 species
AGUGAACGCUGGCGGUAGGCCUAACACAUGCAAGUCGAACGGCAGCACAGUAAGAGCUUGCUCUUACGGGUGGCGAGUGGCGGACGGGUGAGGAAUACAUCGGAAUCUACUUUUUCGUGGGGGAUAACGUAGGGAAACUUACGCUAAUACCGCAUCCGACCUAGGGGUGAAAGCAGGGGAUCUUCGGACCUUGCGGGAUUGAAUGCGCCGAUGUCGGAUUAGCUAGUUGGCGGGGUAAAGACCCACCAAGGCGACGAUCGGUAGCUGGUCUGAGAGGAUGAUCAGCCACACUGGAACUGAGACACGGUCCAGACUCCUACGGGAGGCAGCAGCGGGGAAUAUUGGACAAUGGGCGCAAGCCUGAUCCAGCCAUACCGCGUGGGUGAAGAAGGCCUUCGGGUUGUAAAGCCCUUUUGUUGGGAAAGAAAAGCAGCAGGUUAAUACCCCGCUGUUCUGACGGUACCCAAAGAAUAAGCACCGGCUAACUUCGUG